CCGUUAGCCCAAGAGACUGGGAUAACACCUGGAAACAGAUGCUAAUACCGGAUAACAACACUAGACGCAUGUCUAGAGUUUAAAAGAUGGUUCUGCUAUCACUCUUGGAUGGACCUGCGGUGCAUUAGCUAGUUGGUAAGGUAACGGCUUACCAAGGCAAUGAUGCAUAGCCGAGUUGAGAGACUGAUCGGCCACAUUGGGACUGAGACACGGCCCAA
rnacentral:rRNA from 1 species